rnacentral:rRNA from 1 species
AACGAACGCUGGCGGCAUGCCUAACACAUGCAAGUCGAACGAUCCCUUCGGGGAUAGUGGCGCACGGGUGCGUAACGCGUGGGAACCUGCCCUUAGGUUCGGAAUAACUCAGAGAAAUUUGAGCUAAUACCGGAUAAUGUCUUCGGACCAAAGAUUUAUCGCCUUUGGAUGGGCCCGCGUUGGAUUAGCUAGUUGGUGGGGUAAAGGCCUACCAAGGCGACGAUCCAUAGCUGGUCUGAGAGGAUGAUCAGCCACACUGGGACUGAGACACGGCCCAGACUCCUACGGGAGGCAGCAGUGGGGAAUAUUGGUCAAUGGGCGAAAGCCUGAUCCAGCGAUGCCGCGUGAGUGAUGAAGGCCUUAGGGUUGUAAAGCUCUUUUACCCGGGAUGAUAAUGACAGUACCGGGAGAAUAAGCCCCGGCUAACUCCGUG